rnacentral:rRNA from 1 species
CAGCCGCCGCGGUAAUACGAAGGGAGCGAGCGUUGUUCGGAAUCACUGGGCUUAAAGCGUGCGUAGGCGGAAAUGUAAGUCAGAAGUGAAAGCCCAGGGCUCAACCCUGGAACUGCUUUUGAGACUGCAGAGCUAGCAGGUGAGAGAGGUGAGUGGAAUUCCGAGUGUAGAGGUGAAAUUCGUAGAUAUUCGGAAGAACACCAGUGGCGAAGGCGGCUCACUGGCUCAUACUGGACGCUGAGGUGCGAAAGCGUGGGGAGCAAACAGGAUUAGAUACCCCCGUAGUCCCUGUCUCUUAUAC